GACGAACGCUGGCGGCGUGCUUAACACAUGCAAGUCGAACGGUAAGGUCGUGGUUUUGUGCGGUGCUCGAGUGGCGUCCGAGUGAGAAAUAGGUGAGUACCCUGCGGUGGGGUUUAGGAUAGCUUCAGGAAUCUGGGGCUAGUACGGGAUAGGAGGUCAUGCUCCGUGGUGGGCGUGGCAAAGUUUCGGCGGUUGGGGAUGGAGCCGCGGCGUAAGCGUUUGUUGGGGGGGUUGAGGCUUACCAAGGCAUUGAAGGGUAACCGGCCUGCGAGGGUGAACGGCCACAAUGGGACUGGGGUACGGGCCAGACUCCUACGGGAGGCAGCAGGGGGGAAUAUUGCACAAUUGGCCGAAGGCUGGUGCAACAACGCCGGGGGCGGGAAAACGGCGUUCGGGUGGUAAACCGCCUUCGCCUGUGACGGAGCGUUAAUGACGGUAAUGGAUGAAGAAGCACCGGCUAACUACGUG
rnacentral:rRNA from 1 species